UGAUGCGUCUUUAGCUGCUUGGCUUUUGA
rnacentral:piRNA from 1 species